UACGUAGGGGGCAAGCGUUAUCCGGAUUUACUGGGUGUAAAGGGAGCGUAGACGGCACUGCAAGUCUGGAGUGAAAGCCCGAGGCCCAACCACGGGACUGCUCUGGAAACUGCGGGGCUGGAGUGCAGGAGGGGUAAGCGGAAUUCCUAGUGUAGCGGUGAAAUGCGUAGAUAUUAGGAGGAACACCAGUGGCGAAGGCGGCCUGCUGGACAGUAACUGACGUUGAGGCUCGAAAGCGUGGGGAGCAAACAGG
rnacentral:rRNA from 1 species